GGAGGGGUGCAAGCGUUAAUCGGAAUUACUGGGCGUAAAGCGCACGCAGGCGGUUUGUUAAGUCAGAUGUGAAAUCCCCGGGCUCAACCUGGGAACUGCAUCUGAUACUGGCAAGCUUGAGUCUCGUAGAGGGGGGUAGAAUUCCAGGUGUAGCGGUGAAAUGCGUAGAGAUCUGGAGGAAUACCGGUGGCGAAGGCGGCCCCCUGGACGAAGACUGACGCUCAGGUGCGAAAGCGUGGGGAGCAAACAGGAUUAGAUACCCUGGUAGUCCACGCCGUAAACGAUGUCGACUUGGAGGUUGUGCCCUUGAGGCGUGGCUUCCGGAGCUAACGCGUUAAGUCGACCGCCUGGGGAGUACGGCCGCAAAGGUUA
rnacentral:rRNA from 1 species